UCUGUGAAUCUGUGUUUCCUAGUUAGUUGUGCUCAUCAAUCACAGCAGCUCCAUGAGCUCUUAAUUGAGCCAUGUGCCAACUCAAGAUAAUUCAAAGUAUAAAAAUUACUGGACAGUACACUUAGGACAACAGUAAUACAGGUGUCCUAAGGCAAGUUCAGGGAGGAUAGAAAUCUCCUAUGGAGCAGAAGGGAAGGAAUUCACUUGAUCUUGAUUUUCAGUACAAAUCCAGUAAAAGCAGAGCCUCGUCAUCCUUCUGACCUUCUGACCUCAUCAUCCUUCUUAUCCUGGUUCUUGCUUAAAACCAGGAGAUGUCAGACACAUUAACACAGGAAUAACCAGCUUGCAGUGGCCAAGUGUUCACAGCAACAUUGCUUUUUGAAGAAAUU
rfam:Otolemur garnettii contig007840, whole genome shotgun sequence.